AAGUCGUAACAAGGUUUCCGUAGGUGAACCUGCGGAAGGAUCAUUACCGAGAUAGGGUUCUUCGGAGCCCGACCUCCAACCCAAUGUCUACCAUACCUCUGUUGCCUCGGCGGGCCUGCGGCGUUCACGCACCCUUAGGCCCCUAACGAGGGCUUUCGAGCGCCCGCCGAUGGGAUCAUACAAACUCUUUUUUUGAAUCAGUAUUCUGAGUGAGAAAUCAAUAGCGUUAAAA
rnacentral:misc_RNA from 1 species